CAGUCGAGCGGACAGAUGGGAGCUUGCUCCCUGAUGUUAGCGGCGGACGGGUGAGUAACACGUGGGUAACCUGCCUGUAAGACUGGGAUAACUCCGGGAAACCGGGGCUAAUACCGGAUGCUUGAUUGAACCGCAUGGUUCAAUUAUAAAAGGUGGCUUUUAGCUACCACUUACAGAUGGACCCGCGGCGCAUUAGCUAGUUGGUGAGGUAACGGCUCACCAAGGCAACGAUGCGUAGCCGACCUGAGAGGGUGAUCGGCCACACUGGGACUGAGACACGGCCCAGACUCCUACGGGAGGCAGCAGUAGGGAAUCUUCCGCAAUGGACGAAAGUCUGACGGAGCAACGCCGCGUGAGUGAUGAAGGUUUUCGGAUCGUAAAACUCUGUUGUUAGGGAAGAACAAGUACCGUUCGAAUAGGGCGGUACCUUGACGGUACCUAACCAGAAAGCCACGGCUAACUACGUGCCAGCAGCCGCGGUAAUACGUAGGUGGCAAGCGUUGUCCGGAAUUAUUGGGCGUAAAGCGCGCGCAGGCGGUUUCUUAAGUCUGAUGUGAAAGCCCCCGGCUCAACCGGGGAGGGUCAUUGGAAACUGGGGAA
rnacentral:rRNA from 1 species